CUAGUGGUGGGCUGAGCAGUGGGCGUGGCCUUGGAUCCGAGGCAGUAGAUGCUGUCACACUCUUCACCUUCCCUGGGGACACUUCAGGCUAUCAUUGUUCCCAAGGUGCCAGAACAUUCUAACCAGAGGACUGGUCCAGCACUUCUGUUACCUCGGGGUCUCAGAGAGGGAAUUCUUCCAGGUAAGAGCAUCUGGACCCACAAGAAAGAACUCUCAUCCGACCUGACACGGGUGCCACCUUGAUCUUGGACAUCCAGCCUCGGGGACUCAGCAUGGACACAGGAGAAAGGGUGUGACACUUCAAGGUCCUUGACUUCAACUUUGAAAUCCGUAAUACAUAUUUGGAGCUUGAAAAGCCGAGCUGCCCCACACAGCUUCUAACGACACUGCUCCCAGCCCUGACUCCCACCACCUGCCUCAACUCUCAAUUCUUUUAGUAUUUCCUCUGUUACUUAACAAAUAAAUUUGAGUAUAUUUCUUUCUUUUUUUGCCUU
rnacentral:lncRNA from 1 species